rnacentral:rRNA from 1 species
AACGAACGCUGGCGGCAGGCUUAACACAUGCAAGUCGAACGGUUGUAGCAAUACAGCAGUGGCAGACGGGUGAGUAACACGUGGGAACCUUCCUAGGGGUACGGAACAACUCAGGGAAACUUGAGCUAAUACCGUAUACGUCCGUGGGGAGAAAGAUUUAUCGCCCUUAGACGGGCCCGCGUCGGAUUAGCUAGUUGGUGGGGUAACGGCCUACCAAGGCGACGAUCCGUAGCUGAUCUUAGAGGAUGAUCAGCCACACUGGGACUGAGACACGGCCCAGACUCCUACGGGAGGCAGCAGUGGGGAAUCUUGGACAAUGGGCGCAAGCCUGAUCCAGCCAUGCCGCGUGAGUGAAGAAGGUCUUCGGAUUGUAAAGCUCUUUUGCCAGGGACGAUAAUGACGGUACCUGGAGAAUAAGCCCCGGCAAACUUCGUGCCAGCAGCCGCGGUAA